GGGCAGCUUUCUGGAGAUCUCUGUGUUCUUAAGUCCUUCCAAAGGCUUUGGGGAACAGUGUUGUACUGCUGGACCGAAGCGAAGAAAUGGUGAUGUGACUGAGUGAGCAAACAGGUGUAUAGUCGUGUAAACCCAGACUGAACUUUGAGCACCUAACAGAAAGCAGACCAAUCAGACGUGGGGAGAUCUGGAUUUCAGGCUCAGGGUGACUCACCUGUCUGAAGUUUGGCCUGAAGGUGUUCUGUGUCUCUCAGAGCCAUGGCCGGUCAGCGGAGCGCUGAGGUGAAGGAGAAAUGCAAGAGGAAGUGGUGGUGAUUUCUCGAGAGCGAGAGCUGGGGCUGUUGAUGAAGCUUUCCAAGAUUGUGCAGGGUCAUCUCCUGCUUCCCUUUUCUGUGAAAGAAACUGCUGCGCUGUACUGUACCCUGGGGCAUGAAGCAGCAGCAAUCUCUGGCUCUGGCAAUGUCGCAGGCAGCCCCCAGCAGGUCAGCUGCAGCCAUCCUCCUCGUUGUGGGAGCAGAGAAUUCCAGGUGCAAGGAAGAAGUCUUGUCCGAAGACACAUGAGGAAUGAGUGUCAAAGCCCACAUGAAAAUCCCUGAGGCCAAAUGUUGUCUUCAAAAGCCCACGUUACCAAUUAUUUGCAUCUUAGUGAUUAUUUAACUGAUGUUAUUCUAUAAACAUCAGUUAUUAAACAUUAGAGAGAAGGGAUGGAGAGUGGUUUCUCUGUGCCAGAGUCUGAUGUCAAGUAUUAUUCAGGCUUCUGUAGGAGCAAGAAACCGUGCAUCUCAGAUUACUUGGCCAAUCUGUUGUCAAAGACUUUUGGGGAAAAAAAACAAGCCAAAUUUUUUUUAUAAGACUCUAAAAGGCUGAAGUCUGUUGUGGAACUGCCUGUAGCCUGCAAAGUUACCUCAACACAUCACAUUCCAAGGUGAGAGCUCCAGCAUCUCUGGCUGAUUUCCCAGUAGGUGUGACCCCGCCUCAAACACUGUGUGCAGGUUUGGGAGCCAUAAUAUAGGAAUGAUAAAAAGGUAUUAGAGAGCAUCCAAAGGAGGGCUAUGAAGGUAGCAAAGAGUCUGGAGGGCAAGUUGUAUGAGGAGCUGCUGAAGUCCUUUGAUUUGUUUAGCCCAGAGCAAAGGAGCUGAGGGGAGGCCUCAUGGUGGCUGCAGCUCCUCACAGGGAGUGGAGGGGCAGCGCUGAGCUCUGCUCUCUGUGACAGCGACAGGGCCCGAGGGAACAGCAUGGAGCUGUGUCAGGGGAGGGGCAGGUUGGGGAUUAGGAGAAGGUUCUUCAUCAAAGCAUGGUUGGGCACUGAAACAGGCUCCCCAGGGCAGUGGUCAUGGUCCCAAGCUGCCUGAGUUCAAGGGGGCAUUUGGACAAAACAGGGUUUGGAUGAUGAUUCUGUGUGGAGCUAGGAGUUGGGCUUGAUAAUCUUUGUGGGUUCCUUCCAACUCGGGAUGUUCUGUGAUUCUAUGUUUCACACUCAUCUUUACUGAUUUCUUGAGCCAAACAACAAUUUAAUUUUUCUUUGCCUGAAGUUACAGUUAAAGGUAAUGAAAUCUGAGACCUGGAGGUUAGUCACAAAGUGUGAGGGUAACUUGCUGCCUGUUCCCUACAGAUGGUGUUCCAAUGGCUGGAGCUUCUUAAAGAAAUAACUAUACUCUGAGGCUUCACCUGUUAGAUUUGGUUAAGUAAGUUUUGCCCUGGCAGCACAAGCUACAAAGGACCUCAGCCAGCUUUAAUCAGAAGAGAUACAGAACAUGUUGCAUUUAGCAGAUUUUUUUUUCUCAGCAUCAUAGAAUAUCCCAAGUUGGAGGGGACUCACAAGGAUCAUUGAGUCCAAGUUCUGGCUCCACAUGGGACCGCCCAAAAAUCAGACCGUAUAUCUGAAAGCGUUGUCCAGAUGCUUCUUGAACUGCAGCAGCUUGGUGCUAUAACCUGCCCUGGGGAGUCUGCUCCAGUGCCUGAUUGCCCUCUGUUGAAGAACCUUUUCUUGUUAUCCAACCUGACCCCGUCCCCUGAGCAUCACCCGAAGCUGGAUUCAUUACACCUGGACUUGUUACAAAAAUGAUCUUGUUACUAUUCACUCUAUUAUAAUUGACUCCCAGGCGUUUGGAAUUUAAACACAAAUACAUUAGGACUGCAAUAAGCUGCUUGUCAUAGAACUAAAUGUUAUACUCCAUUUUCCCAGCUCUAGGAUUUGCUGCAAGCCACGCUUACAGCUUUUAAAAGAUACCGAACUUUUUCUCAGCUAGCAUAGACUCCAUCUCAACCAAAUGGACUUCUGGUAUUUAUUAUUUCCAGGUCUUGUGGGCUAGAGCAGAAGUAGAGAUGGCAGCCUCUGACAGAUGUUCUAAGACUUACAACUGGAAGAUAUUUAAACCAUACGGCAGCCUGCAAGCACCACUGACACCCCCUCCACAGCUGUGUUUUCAGAAGCCUGUCAGUGCAGCAAUGAUUUUUCCUUUAAAAUAAAUAUAUGUAUAUUAUUUUGCAGCAAUUUAACAGGGUCACAGACACUGGAUAAAACUUGAUAGGACCCUUAAACAUUUUGGGGUUUGUUAGGAAUAAUGUGGGAAUCAGCCAUGCUAUUUCCUAUGAUCAUGGCUGAUUGUUUUCUCCCAGCAUCACUUCUUCCUGCCUCCGUACCACACUAUGUGACCACAGUUAUUCAGAUUGGUUUUUGGUCCUUUCAAAGAGGAAAAUUGUCCUGUUUCUUGAUAUUUUUCCAUGCAGCCAGGAGUGCUUCAUGUUAACACUGGUUGACUUCAUGUCACACUGAUGAGUUCUUAAUGUUUCUGUCCUAAUGGGAAACUCUCACUGAGAAAAAUCAGGCUUCACUUUCAUGACUAACAGCAAGGAUUAACUGAAAAAUAAAUUUGGAAAAGCAUAUUCUGGAGUGAGAGAGAUGGAAAUAUGCUGGUUCCCUGGAACUCUGUGGUGGUAUAAACCUUCCCUAGUUCUCAUGUCGGCUUGGUCACAUUCAAACAGGGUUGUGAUAGCUCUGCAUGUACCAGCAGCAGAAAUUUCUGGGUUAGACUGACCUGGCUUGCUGCCACCUCUUUGGCCAUGGAAGCUGUUGCUGAAUUUCCUUGAAGUCAGUGAGAUUACGUUGGCUAAGCACUGCAGCUUCCCAGCAGUAUGCUGGAGGAAAGGACCUGGCCACUCAGUCUUUUAUGUUUGGCUUAAAAUCAGUUGAAAUUAAAAGCAAAUUCCAUCCAUGAUGAACCUCUCUGAAACAGGAUGACAUUUUUCUUCAGUGCUGCAGAAGCUGGAUAUGCUUGUGAUAGCUUCCUGUUUGACCUCUGUACUAGUUUUUGGGUAGUAAUGGGGAUUGAGUCUUGGUGUGCCUAGUGUAUCCUGUAUGCAUAUCUCAGCUGUUGGUCUUGCUUCUUAUCUCUUCUUAUUUACUUCUGACUCUGUAAUAAUUGUGCAGAAUUAAGUGCACAAGGAACGUUGACUGCCCCUUGGGAUCUAGGUUUUUUGUUAGAUUGAUUAUGUCAGAGAACAUAACUC